rnacentral:rRNA from 1 species
AUGCACAAUGGGCUCUGGCUUCGUUCCAUGCAAGAAUGCAAGCCCACGAGCUACCUCAAAAAUAAUUUGGAAGCGCAGAAACCAAUGGAGUGGUUGGCGCCCUUCGUUGUCAAUAAGUUGAUCUUCCAGACUUCCAUUCUCCAUGUAUUCAUAUACAAGACAUCCAAUUUCAGGACAAAACCCAAGCAACAAAACCAGGUGGGGAUGGUGAAGUCGGCUGAGAAUAUCAAUCUGCAUCAUGUGGAAAAAAUCAUAGCAUUUAAUAAAUACCCCAUCGAUGAUAAAAAUAUGUUAAAUCAAAUUACGUUCACCCCCUGUUUACGGGUAUUAACAACACAGUAG